rnacentral:lncRNA from 1 species
UAACUCUCAUCCCCCACAACAUACCUUAAAUCCUCUCAUCCCCUUACUAAAAGAAGAGACAAACAAUAUAUCAGAGUAAUAAAAAUGAUGCUAUCAGUUAAUUAGUAUCAGAUGUAUUCAUAUGAAAACACUAAUCAAAAUAAAUAAAAGCAACCAAACAUAGAAAAUGAAUAAUCUAAUAAGGAAUAAAACAACAAAAGGAGAAAAAAAAACAAGAAAUAAAAGCAAAAAAAGAAGAAAAAAAUGAGGAAUAAA